UACGUAGGGGGCGAGCGUUGUCCGGAAUUAUUGGGCGUAAAGAGCGCGUAGGCGGCUUGGUAAGCCGGAUGUGAAACCCCCAAGCUCAACUUGGGGCGGCCAUUCGGAACUGCCAUGGCUAGAGUCUGGUAGGGGAACACGGAAUUCCUGGUGUAGCGGUGAAAUGCUUAGAUAUGACAUAGAACACCAAUUGCGAAGGCAGCUGGCUACACAAAUAUUGACACUGAUGCACGAAAGCGUGGGGAUCAAACAGG
rnacentral:rRNA from 1 species